rnacentral:rRNA from 1 species
CACCAUAGACUGUGAGUAGCGAACGGGUGAGUAACGCGUAGGUAACCUGCCUAUUAGAGGGGGAUAACUAUUGGAAACGAUAGCUAAUACCGCAUAACAGUAUGUAACACAUGUUAGAUGCUUGAAAGAUGCAAUUGCAUCGCUAGUAGAUGGACCUGCGUUGUAUUAGCUAGUAGGUAGGGUAAAGGCCUACCUAGGCAACGAUACAUAGCCGACCUGAGAGGGUGAUCGGCCACACUGGGACUGAGACACGGCCCAGACUCCCUACGGGAGGCAGCAGUAGGGGAAUCUUCGGCAAUGGGGGGAACCCUGACCGAGCAACGCCGCGUGAGUGAAGAAGGUUUUCGGAUCGUAAAGCUCUGUUGUUAAGGAAGAACGAGUGUGAGAAUGGAAAGUUCAUACUGUGACGGUACUUAACCAGAAAGGGACGGCUAACUACGUGCCAGCAGCCGCGGUAAUACGUAGGUCCCGAGCGUUGUCCGGAUUUAUUGGGCGUAAAGCGAGCGCAGGCGGUUAGAAAAGUCUGAAGUGAAAGGCAGUGGCUCAACCAUUGUAGGCUUUGGAAACUGUUUAACUUGAGUGCAGAAGGGGAGAGUGGAAUUCCAUGUGUAGCGGUGAAAUGCGUAGAUAUAUGGAGGAACACCGGUGGCGAGAGCGGCUCUCUGGUCUGUAACUGACGCUGAGGCUCGAAAGCGUGGGGAGCGAACAGGAUUAGAUACCCUGGUAGUCCACGCCGUAAACGAUGAGUGCUAGGUGUUAGGUCCUUUCCGGGACUUAGUGCC